rnacentral:rRNA from 1 species
AUGAACGCUGGCGGCGUGCCUCAUACAUGCAAGUCGCGCGAACAGAUAAGGAGCUUGCUCCUUUGACGUUAGCGGCGGACGGGUGAGUAACACGUGGGUAACCUACCUAUAAGACUGGAAUAACUCCGGGAAACCGGGGCUAAUGCCGGAUAACAUUUAGAACCGCAUGGUUCUAAAGUGAAAGAUGGUUUUGCUAUCACUUAUAGAUGGACCCGCGCCGUAUUAGCUAGUUGGUAAGGUAACGGCUUACCAAGGCAACGAUACGUAGCCGACCUGAGAGGGUGAUCGGCCACACUGGAACUGAGACACGGUCCAGACUCCUACGGGAGGCAGCAGUAGGGAAUCUUCCGCAAUGGGCGAAAGCCUGACGGAGCAACGCCGCGUGAGUGAUGAAGGUCUUCGGAUCGUAAAACUCUGUUAUUAGGGAGGAACAAAUGUGUAAGUAACUGUGCACGUCUUGACGGUACCUAAUCAGAAAGCCACGGCUAACUACGU